AUACGUAGGUGACAAGCGUUAUCCGGAUUUACUGGGCGUAAAGGGCGUGUAGGCGGUCUUGCAGGUCAGAAGUGAAAUUCCUGAGCUCAACUCGGGCGCUGCUUCUGAAACUGCAGGACUUGAGUGCUGGAGGGGAUAGCGGAAUUCCUAGUGGAGCGGUAAAAUGCGCAGAUAUUAGGAAGAACACCGGUGGCGAAGGCGGCUAUCUGGACAGUAACUGACGCUGAGGCGCGAAAGCGUGGGGAGCAAACAGGAUUAGAUACCCUGGUAGUCCACGCCGUAAGCGAUGAAUACUAGGUGUAGGGGGUAUCGACUCCCUCUGUGCCGCAGUUAACACAAUAAGUAUUCCGCCUGGGGAGUACGGCCGCAAGGUUGAAACUCAAAUGAAUUGACGGGG
rnacentral:rRNA from 1 species